AGAAGCCAGGGAGAAGAGGUGCCUUGCAUGAGGGCCAGAGCCUCCUCGUCUGGUAGCCAAGGAUGACUUGCCUAUAUGCUCUUUCAGAAGCCCCGGUUAUUACAUGACUGGUUUCGGAUGAGUUCCAUGAUAGGCGGUCACCUUGGCUAGCCUGAGCAGCUCUUGUCUGUCAUGGAAGGCCUCUCCUUCUCAUUCUUUGCCAUUCUAUCACAGGGUGUCAGGACUGUUUGAAUUGCAGUUGACAGGUAGGCCGGACCAUGCAAGGGGAUAGUACAUUUUAUUUUUAUGAAACCUUAAGAGAAAGGGUUUCCCCCGCUUUAUAUUAUAAAGCAACAGCCGAGCAUACAACCACCGAUACCACAAAAAAAAAGAAAAAAAAAGAAGGCAACAGAGGAUACAAGAUGCAACCGGACAACAACAGUCCUGACAACUCUAGAAGCUAGGACAUCGAGGACCCCGGCAACUUCAGGACAUGCCCACGAUACGCUCACGCUAAUGGAGCGGCCCGCCUCCGGAGGAAGCGCACAACCGUCAACUCCCAUACCGUUGCCGACCAUCCGAGAGCACGCUUGAUCCCGGAUGGACUAGGAGAGGAUGGCAACACACCGCCACGCUGGUAAAGCUACUCCGAUCAACGCCACCGCCUCGGGCCACGCCAUGAAGAACACCGAACAUUGUCGAGCAGGACCAACUGAAGACCGGCAACCGACCACGCCAAAGCCGCGACCACCACGCACCCGUCCCAAAGGCGGCGUCUUCAAGAAGAAAGCGACGCCAAGACGCCAUCGCCACCCAAUCCAAGGGGAUUCGGGUCUUCAGCCGGGACAAGGAGA